UACGUAGGGGGCAAGCGUUGUCCGGAUUUAUUGGGCGUAAAGAGCGUGUAGGCGGCCAUACAGGUCAGCUGUGAAAACUCGAGGCUCAACCUCGAGACGCCGGUGGAAACCAUCAGACUAGAGUCCGGAAGAGGAGAGUGGAAUUCCUGGUGUAGCGGUGAAAUGCGCAGAUAUCAGGAAGAACACCCGUGGCUAAGGCGGCUCUCUAGUACGGUACUGACGCUGAGACGCGAAAGCGUGGGGAGCGAACAGG
rnacentral:rRNA from 1 species